rnacentral:misc_RNA from 1 species
CUGUAACAACACAUCUCCCUCGACAUUAUGCCGAACACUAGGCAUGCGCGCAGCGGUGGCAGCGAGACGAACAAGAUCGGCAUAGGGUCUGCUGUUUUGUGGGGAAGAGAGGAGGAGGUUGGGGCUGUCCACGGGAAAGGGGCUCGGCCUACAGCACCCAUGGCUGGGCGCUGCGGCGUCGAGCAAAUCCCUGCGCGCUCACGCCCUUGGAGUAGGGGGCUGGACAACCAUGGGAGAGAGGGCAGAGCUGCUGCGUUCCAGGGAUCCAAGCGCCAGGGGGUGAGCUCGGGCUUGAGCUAUGGAGCAGGGAGGGCGCUGCUUGGGGGCUCGGCUGGGGGAGUUCGGCUGUG